UUAAUAUUUGUUUCAUAAUUCUACACCCAAAUUCGAACAUUUUGAUCCCAGGAGCAGGAGGCAAUAGCCAUACCAUUUCCAGUAACGCUAAGCGAUGUUACACGGUUUUCGUGGCCCGUCAAAACACCUUUGAAUGAAAGAAUAUGAAUCUUCCGCUUAAGGAUAAACCACAAGAUGUAUAUCCGGGAUUUGAAUUUGGAGGUUUAAAGGUAGCUAAUUGUUGAUCCGAUCUUAGAUCCCACAAUCUCGCUGUCUUAUCUUCCGAAGCUGUUACAAAAGCUUGUCCCGAAGGAUGAUACUGAAUGGAACAUAAUUGUUUGCAAAUAAGAUAUGGAUACAUUUUCAUAUCACCGGAUCCAGUGAUUAUUUUUUUAUCUUCCAAGAAUCUGCAAGAUGAAAGAAAACCUUCGUAUCCUAAUAAUUCUCGAACGAUCUUAGCUGAUCCUGUGGCAUCACGAUUGUUCACAUCAUAGAUAGUACACAUAUUGUCCAUACCACCACAAGCAACGAAAUUUCCCGAGGGUGCAAAAGCUACUGACAUUACCCAUGCUGAGCGCAAUGGGAUUACCUGGACUUUGUUUCCAGUCCAUGAAUCCCAAAUGAUCAAUUUUCCGUCCAGUGAACCAGUCACACAAUGUCUAAAAAGAGAUACUUAUUUAGAUCAUUCAAGAUUGGAGAUGUUACGGUUGAUUUCUUGGAAUAAAGAUCAAAAGAUCGAUACUCAAUACUGACCUACUAUCACCACUAUAAUGUACCGAAUUUACUUUAUUGAUAUGUCCCUUUAGUAAUUUUUUAGUAGAUAAUUUAACUUUUGGAGCAUCUGAUACACUACUACAUGUUUCCUCCAAAGUUGUAUCUUGUUGUUUCUUUUGAUCUUCCUGAUAUACAAUAGAACAAGUUUUCAAUUGAUAUCAAGGUAUGAUAUUAAAAUUUUUUUCUAUUUUAAUUAAAAACAUUUUUCUAAUACAACCUUGCAUCUAUUGAUCAAAUCUUCUAGCUCUUUUUUUAAAGCUAUGGUUUCUGCAUCAUCCUUCCCCAUUUUCUAGUUGAAUCUUACUUUAUUUGGAAACUUAUCAAGCAACUAAGAUUGAAACACCAACGAUGAUAGACGUACGAAUACUGCGAAUAAAUUUUUAUCAAAAUGUAAAAGAAGCCUCAGCAUCGUCUACAUUACUGCCCCAGUAAUCAUAUUAAAUUGACGCUUAAUCCUAUUAUUCGGCUCUCUGACCUAACUUAAUUAUCUACAUAUACAAUAACUCUUAUUAUUCUUCAUACGUAACUUUUUUUAUAAUAUGAUCAUUAUAUUAAAUUUUUAAAAUUCUUUACUUAUUUUUCUUAUACAAAAUAUGUUUUACAGUUGUAGGAAAUGGAAAGAAAAAAAAAAGUACGCGGUUACGGUAUAUAAGUUCUUAUAAAAAGUGUAAUCCGUCGCGCUUUCGAAUUCCAUUUCACCUAUAAAUGAUUCGAUUUGUUUAAAUCGAUUUAGUUCUAUUGAAUUAUUAAUCAGAAUUAGAUCUGUGUAUCAUAAUCAAUUUGUAUUUAUAUUGUUAGGAAAAUAAAUUUUGAUAAAACAUACAA